AGAAUUACAAGGAUAUGAGAGUGAGACGUCCUCCCUUACCCCAAGACUUGCAGACAGGACAAACCUAGGUUUCAUGGCUCCCCAAAUAUCUUAGCUUGGAAUCUACGAGACUGAACCAGGGAUGUUGUUGAACAGAGGUACAAAAGUCAACUGUCAAGUCUGUGCUUCAUCAAAGACACUAACUGGUGAGACCCUGUAAUGUGAUCGCAAUCUGCCCAAUGGAGUAAUUACACAGCCUGGAAGACCACUAAUGGAAUACAAGACCCUUCUAUGAUGAUACGGAUUACACAUUUUCAUGGCUGCUGUGUGGCAUGCCUGGCAGCCAAACAAGUCUCUACCAGGGGCUAAAGAACGAAAAAAUGAGCACAAGUUAACAGACAAGGACCUGAGGCGUUCAAUUUAUUCCCCUGUACACUGAUGGACGGAAUCAGCCAGGAUACAUGGCCAUCUGAUUGAGUCGGGGAAUAUCAGGUGGGGCUGCCAGAUUACGACAGGUGCUAAAUAUGGCCGUCACGAUACGGAGCUCUGGGUGCUGCACUUGCCACUGCCUGGCAAGACGGAUGUAUUUAUCAAUCACUUGUGUGUGCAGGAGCUACUAAGACACUGGGUGAUACACACGCCAGAACCUGGACAGAAAUGUGUUUGUUUGAUCCUCUGUGUGUGUGAGAAGCUUUCUUAAGGCACAAUCAGCAUGAGAUCAAAGGCAAAUCAAGUUAUCCCCGAGGACUAGGAGAAGGCAGGGUGCUUCUACACAAACACUGGAAUUGUCAUCAGUUGAUGAAAUUACAAGGCAUGAUAUGGGCUUCAGACAUGCUGACAUCUGGGGGUGGUAAAGUCAUCAUUCUGGACAUUCAGCAAGAGUCAGCCGAGUGGAGUGGAGUGGAGACGUAGGAUGCAGAGUAUACUGGGGGAAGCUGGUGUGGUGGUCACUUACGGACUGUCCAUACCUGGUUCUUGGGAGGGUCAAUUCUUGUUUCAUGUGAAGGUGAAAUUGGUGAUAUCUCAGAAGUGUUGUGGAUUACUUGUUUCAAAGAAAAUGCGGAGCUGAGUUUCCAAGUGAGGAGAUUUACGUGCCUCAAAUGAGGACGGUUCCAUGUCUACUAGUUGGGAGAUUUACCUGGAUCAAUCAUGGUGAUUUACCUGUAUCGGUGAUUGUGAUUUACCUGUAUCAGUGAUUGUGAUUUACCUGUAUCAGGGAUGGUGAUUUACCUGUAUCAGGGAUGGUGAUUUACCUGUAUCGGAUAUGGACUAAGCUAUGUGAAUCAAUAAUGGAUAUAUACCUGUAUUGGACAUGGAGAGAAGACCACUGCAGUGCAAGAAAUCAUCUACUUUUAAAGAACAUUACAGAAAGACCCUGAAAGAUACGAAGAUACAUGAUGAGACGAUAGAGCAGACGGCAAUGAGAAUUCCAACCCCAUGCUGCUGGCUCCCCCGACAGCUUUCAAUCUACUCGGAUAACUACUCCACUGUCAAGAUGUCUCAGCCUACAACAAAUUGCUCCACAAUUUUAUGGUUCAACUGGACCAGGUAAUGUGAACAGAACUACAUCAUCAACAGGAACGUGGUUUCAAAGGAUUCUGGGUCUGCUGGAAAUGGAUUUCAAUCAGUGUUCACUGGUGCUGAGAUCUGGAAAACUGUUCAGCUGAUCUGAGAAUGAACUGCAGCCAUUCCACAGGCUGUAAUCAGCAUCAGAUCAACUUCCAUGUCAAUCAGGGUGGAAGAGCACACUGUGAUAAACUGAUAGCAAGCAUCUCCAAGCUCAGUAUGUGCAGGAAGCCUUAGUGCAGGAGCUGCUGCAGAUUCGCAGAUCCGA